GCGAGUAUGGUGAAAUCGGCAGACACGACGGGCUUAGAACCCGUUAUCGAAAGAUGUGGGGGUUCAACUCCCUCUACUCGCA
rnacentral:tRNA from 1 species